AUUGAAACACCGCUUCCCGUAUAACGACCUAAGUUAAGCUAUCUCAAACCUAGUCAGUAUCGAGAUGGGUGACCGCCUGGGAAUACCAGGUGUUGUAAU